rnacentral:piRNA from 1 species
UGCACAUCUCUGUCAAGAUGUGUGGUCC